AGCUACAACUCCGCUCCCGUCCGUGUGUGGCUAGCUAGGUCUUCCACGCCGCCCAAAUGAACGCAAGCGAGGACGGCGGCCGCCGCCGCCGCCGUUCCCAAACCCACGACGAGGCCGACGGAGUGGCCCGCCUCCAUCCCCAGGUUCACGCGGGCGAGGAGGGAGCCGGAGUCGCUCGCGGGCGCAGUACGCGCCCCCGCGCCCGCCCUCGUUCCCGGAUCCACGCGACCGGCGAGGGCGCCGGAGUGAUCUGUCGCGUCAGCAUUCCGGCGGCACUGGCCUCGCCGUUCGAAGACGACGACCUCCUGAGGGAGAUUCUCCUCCGUCUCCCGCCGCAGCCCUCCUCGCUACUCCGGGCCUCCGCCGUCUGCAAGCAAUGGCGAUGCGCCGCCACCGACCCCAAGUUUCUCCACCGCUUCCGCACGCACCACCGGAAGCCGCCCCUCCUCGGCGUCUUUCACGUGCGCAACAGGGAUGAUAUCGUCUUCACCCCAAUACUGGACGCACCCGACCGCAUCCCUCCUCGGCGAUUCGACCUUAUUAGCAGCACGGAGGUGGUGCUCUUACUGCUCGAUUGUCGCCACGGUCGCGUCCUUCUCAUUAACGUGGGGCGGGAUGAGGCCAUCGUGUCCACCCCCAUCACCGGCGAGCAGCGCCUCCUGCCCAUUCCGUCGGAGUUCAAAUUCACCGAUGAUGUCAACGGGGCUGUGCUCUGCGCUGCCAGCGACCAUGGCCAUGUGCACGGAAGCUGCCACUCGAGCCCCUUCAAGGUAGUGUUGAUCUCUGAUGUUGGAGAGGAUAAUCGAUUCUUUGCUUGUGUUUACUCCUCGGAGACUGGAGUAUGGAGUGAUAUCAUCUCAACAGCCGUUCCACCUGAAACUUUUUUUGCUGAUACCCCUGGGAUGCUUGUUGGUAAUGCACUUUACUGGUUGAUGGAUAUUAUGACCGAUGACAUACUUGAGUUUGAUUUGGAUCAGCAGAGCCUAGCUGUGAUCAAGGGGCCUCCCAUUACAGAUGAUUUCCGCCAUGCCAGCCAUUGGAUCGUGCAGGCUGAGGAUGGUGCUGUUGGCUUCGCCAUAUUGACUUGCAGUCACUUACAAAUGUGGCAGAGGAUUAUAAAUUUCCAUGGUGUUGCCACAUGGGUGUUAUGGAAGACCAUUGACAUGCAUACCAUCCGUGGGCUCCCUCCCCAGAUUGACAUGAUACGUAUAGCGGGAUGCAUUGAGGAUACUGACGGACUAUUUCUAUUCGUGGGCCAUGAUGUCUAUAUGGUUCAACUUAAUUCAAUGCAGUCUAGGAAACUUUUUGAAAACCGUGGUUAUACUUACUAUCAUUCGUUCAAGAGUUUCUAUCCGCCAGGCACAACCAUUGCUGGUGCAUGUGAUGCAGCUGAAAUGUUGCACGAUACAUAGGAUGACUGUCUGGUUUGAUGUUCUAAUGUGCUGAAACGGUUCAGCAGGUGAAGAAGGGCUGCUGCACUUGUUAAUUGACACUGCAUUUGUCGCAUUGUAUCAAUGUCUUCAGCAGUGUUUAUAUGUUAUCUAAAAUGACUUACCGUGCCUUAGUCUAGCCAAGUCUCUAUUAGCAAGAUGCUCUUGAAUGCCUAAUCCAGUGAAUUUCAGCUUAACCCAGUAUUAUUUCAGCUUGUGCAAUAUUUACCUUUUAAUGGUUCACAUGAGCCAGAGUACUCAUCAUUAACUCGACUGUUUGCGGCUGAAGAUAUGGGACCUGACGACAACCAUACUUGAAACCAUAGUAACUGGGCAGCUGGAGGUUGCAUUUUUACCCUGGGGAGGGUUUGAUGUUGCAUUUGUCUGUUAAUCAUUCUCUGCUGGACUUCUCAGUGAUUUCAACAUUUUUUAUACUAAAGUGAACGCAACUGGGCAGCUGGAGGUUGCAUUCUUACCAUGGGAGGGUUUGAUGUUGCAUUUGUCUUUAGAUGGAUCAAUCUCUGAUUA